rnacentral:rRNA from 1 species
AGUGAACGCUGGCGGUAGGCCUAACACAUGCAAGUCGAACGGCAGCACAGUAAGAGCUUGCUCUUACGGGUGGCGAGUGGCGGACGGGUGAGGAAUACAUCGGAAUCUACUUUUUCGUGGGGGAUAACGUAGGGAAACUUACGCUAAUACCGCAUACGACCUACGGGUGAAAGCAGGGGAUCUUCGGACCUUGCGCGAUUGAAUGAGCCGAUGUCGGAUUAGCUAGUUGGCGGGGUAAAGGCCCACCAAGGCGACGAUCCGUAGCUGGUCUGAGAGGAUGGUCCGCCACACUAGAACUGAGUCACGGUCCAGCCUCCUACGGGAGGCAGCAUUGGGGAAUAUUGGACAAUGGGCGCAAGCCUGAUCCAGCCAUACCGCGUGGGUGAAGAAGGCCUUCGGGUUGUAAAGCCCUUUUGUUGGGAAAGAAAAGCAGCAGGUUAAUACCCCGCUGUUCUGACGGUACCCAAAGAAUAAGCACCGGCUAACUUCGUG